rnacentral:rRNA from 1 species
AUACGGAGGUGGCAAACGUUGCUCGGAAUCACUGGGCUUAAAGGGCGUGUAGGCGGUCUUCCAAGUCGGAUGUGAAAGCCCUCGGCUCAACCGAGGAAUUGCACUCGAUACUGGUCGACUAGAGUGCGGCAGGGGUAAGUGGAACUCCAGGUGUAGCGGUGAAAUGCGUAGAUAUCUGGAGGAACGCCGGUGGCGAAAGCGACUUACUGGGCCGCAACUGACGCUAAGGUGCGAAAGCUAGGGGAGCGAACGGGAUUAGAAACCCCAGUAGUCC